AUACGGAGGAUCCGAGCGUUAUCCGGAUUUAUUGGGUUUAAAGGGUGCGCAGGCGGGAGAUUAAGUCGGCGGUGAAAUUUUUCAGGUCAACUGUAAAAGGGCCUUCGAAACUGGUUUCCUUUGGUGUAGGUGAAGGAGGGGGGAUUUGUGGGGUAGAGGGGAAAUGCAUAGAUAUCACGAGGAACUCCGAUUGCGCAGGCAGCUUACUAAACUACUACUGACGCUCAGGCACGAAGGCGUGGGGAUCAAACAGGAUUAGAUACCCUGGUAGUCCACGCAGUAAACGAUGAUUACUAGCUGUUUGCGAUACAAUGUAAGCGGCUGAGCGAAAGCGUUAAGUAAUCCACCUGGGGAGUACGUUCGCAAGAAUGAAACUUAAAGGAAUUGACGGGG
rnacentral:rRNA from 1 species